AUUAGCAGUCGCGGUGUGCGGCUCGGCGCGGGCUCACAAAGAGCUCGGCCUCGCGGACUGAGCCGGCGGCGGCGGCGGCGGCGGGGCGGGGACGGCGGCGUACCGGGGCAGCCUAGCGCCCUGGCCAGUCUCCUGAAUAUUUACGCAUUGCUGAAUCUCCUGUGGACAAACCACCAACAGGCCAGGACUGUCCUGUGGACAGACGGGGUGAGCCUCUUCUUGUGUCUGGAGAUUCUGAAAAGAUUUGAUCACCAGGAGAUUUUUCGGGACAUUACCAAACCACUGAUUUUAGUGGCUGCCUCCAGGUGAUGAUGGCCGCGUGAGCGACUGCCAUGGCCCACCAGAAGCUUGAGAGCGUGGGGAGCGGCAUGUUGGACCAUAGGGUGAGACCGGGUCCUGUCCCUCACAGCCAGGAGCCUGAGAGCGAGGACAUGGAGCUGCCCUUGGAGGGCUAUGUGCCCGAGGGCCUGGAGCUGGCUGCCCUGCGGCCAGAGAGCCCCAUGCACCAGAGGAACAGGAGUGCCACAACCACAGCCCCGAUGGGGACUCCAGUUCUGACUACGUGAACAACACCUCUGAGGAGGAGGACUAUGACGAGGGCCUCCCUGAGGAGGAGGAGGGCAUCCCCUACUACAUCCGCUACUGCCCCGAGGACGACAGCUACCUGGAGGGCAUGGACUGCAAUGGGGAGGUGUACCUGGCCCACGGUGCACACCCUGUGGACACUGACGAGUGCCAGGAGGCGGUGGAGGAGUGGACAGACUCGGCAGGCCCGCGCCCCCACAGCCACGAGGCUGAAGGCAGCCAGGACUACCCAGAUGGCCAACUGCCCAUCACAGAGGAUGAGCCCUCUGUCCUGGAGGCCCACGACCAGGAAGAAGACGGUCACUACUGUCCCAGCAAAGAGGGCUACCAGGACUACUACCCUGAGGAGGCCAACGGGAACACCAGCGCCUCUCCCUACCCCCUGAGGUGCGGGGACGGGGACCUGGAGGACCAGGAGGAGGACAUCGACCAGAUCGUGGCAGAGAUCAAGAUAAGCCUGAGUAUGACCAGCAUCACCAGCGCCAGUGAGGCCAGCCCCGAGCAUGGGCCUGAGCCAGGGCCUGCAGGCUCUGCAGAGGCCUGCCCACCCGUCAAGGCCAGCUGCAGGCACGAGGCGAGGCCCAAGUCGCUGAACCUCCUUCCCGAGGCCAAGCACCCCGGAGACCCCCAGAGAGGCUUCAAGCCCAAGACCAGGACCCCAGAAGAGAGGCCGAAGUGGCCCCACGAGCAGGUUUGCAAUGGUCUGGAGCAGCCAAGGAAGCAGCAGCGCUCUGAUCUCAAUGGACCUGUUGACAAUAACAACAUUCCAGAGACAAAGAAGGUGGCAUCAUUUCCAAGUUUUGUGGCCGUUCCAGGGCCCUGCGAACCAGAAGACCUCAUCGAUGGGAUCAUCUUUGCUGCCAAUUACCUGGGGUCCACCCAGCUGCUAUCAGAACGGAACCCUUCCAAAAACAUCAGAAUGAUGCAAGCGCAGGAGGCCGUCAGCCGGGUCAAGAAUUCUGAGGGGGACGCCCAGACGCUGACGGAAGUGGACCUCUUCAUUUCCACCCAGAGGAUCAAGGUUUUAAAUGCAGACACGCAGGAAACCAUGAUGGACCACGCCUUGCGUACCAUCUCCUACAUCGCCGACAUUGGGAACAUUGUGGUGCUGAUGGCCAGACGCCGCAUGCCCCGGUCAGCCUCUCAGGACUGCAUCGAGACCACGCCCGGGGCCCAGGAAGGCAAGAAGCAGUAUAAGAUGAUCUGCCACGUGUUCGAGUCGGAGGAUGCCCAGCUCAUCGCCCAGUCCAUUGGCCAGGCCUUCAGCGUGGCCUACCAGGAGUUUCUGCGAGCCAAUGGCAUCAACCCCGAAGACUUGAGCCAGAAGGAGUACAGCGACAUCAUCAACACCCAGGAGAUGUACAACGAUGACCUCAUCCACUUCUCAAACUCGGAGAACUGCAAGGAGCUGCAGCUGGAGAAGCACAAAGGCGAGAUCCUGGGCGUGGUGGUGGUGGAGUCGGGCUGGGGCUCCAUCCUGCCCACCGUGAUCCUGGCCAACAUGAUGAAUGGCGGCCCGGCCGCCCGCUCGGGGAAGCUGAGCAUCGGGGACCAGAUCAUGUCCAUCAAUGGCACCAGCCUGGUGGGGCUGCCCCUCGCCACCUGCCAAGGCAUCAUCAAGGGCCUGAAGAACCAGACACAGGUGAAGCUCAACAUCGUCAGCUGUCCCCCGGUCACCACGGUCCUCAUCAAGCGGCCAGACCUCAAGUACCAGCUGGGCUUCAGCGUGCAGAAUGGAAUUGUGAGUGCCCCCUCCUGCCCUGGGCCUCCACCACCGCUGCAGGGCCCAGGGAGUGGGAGCAGCUCCCGUCCGAUGGGGCGGGCUAUGCCUGGCAGCCUGGCAGGACCUGGCCCGUGGGUGCAGCUGCCCACAGCCAGGCCACCCGGGGCAGGAACUUUCCACGGUUCUCUGGGAGGUCUGGGUAGAAGGGGAGGGCCAGGGCAUGGCCGUGGAUUGGGCCCCUCCAGCCU
rnacentral:sRNA from 1 species